GAUGAAGAACGUAGUGAAAUGCGAUAAGUAAUGUGAAUUGCAGAAUUCAGUGAAUCAUCGAAUCUUUGAACGCACCUUGCGCCUUUUGGUAUUCCGAAAGGCACACCUGUUUGAGCGUCAUGAAUACCUCAAUCUCCAUCUUUUCUUCGGAUUGAUGGGUGACUUGGAUGUUGAGCCCUGCUGGUAUGCUAUAUCAGCUGGCUUUAAACUUAUUAGCCGGCUCUGUACUGGAUCGGUUUGACUCGACGUGAUAAUAUUAUCGUUGAGGAUGCAUGUCUCAUGCAGCCGGAAAGUAUCAAAGCAGCUUCUAGCUUGCCUUUAGUGCACUUUUACAUUUUAGACCUCAGAUCAGGUGGGACUACCCGCUGAACUUAAGCAUAUCAAUAAGCGGAAGA
rnacentral:misc_RNA from 1 species